UACGUAGGGGACUAGCGUUGUUCGGAAUCACUGGGCGUAAAGCGCACGUAGGCGGAUUCGUAAGUCAGGGGUGAAAUCCCGGGGCUCAACCUCGGAACUGCCUUUGAUACUGCGGGUCUUGAGUCCGAUAGAGGUGGGUGGAAUUCCUAGUGUAGAGGUGAAAUUCGUAGAUAUUAGGAAGAACACCGGUGGCGAAGGCGGCCCACUGGAUCGGUACUGACGCUGAGGUGCGAAAGCGUGGGAGCAAACAG
rnacentral:rRNA from 1 species